rnacentral:misc_RNA from 1 species
GUAGGUGAACCUGCGGAAGGAUCAUUAACACGUAUCCAACGUUAAACCCCCCCGUGAACGUACAAUCUGUUGGUUCUCCGGUUACGCGAAACAAUGGUUGCAACAUUAUCCAACGUUAAACCCCCCCGCGAACACUCCACGCUUGAAAGGGCUGUGGAGAUAACGAACAACUGUUAACAAUGGAUAUCUUGGUUCUC